rnacentral:rRNA from 1 species
GAUGAACGCUGGCGGCGUGCCUAAUACAUGCAAGUCGAGCGAACGGACGAGAAGCUUGCUUCUCUGAUGUUAGCGGCGGACGGGUGAGUAACACGUGGAUAACCUACCUAUAAGACUGGGAUAACUUCGGGAAACCGGAGCUAAUACCGGAUAAUAUUUUGAACCGCAUGGUUCAAAAGUGGAAGACGGUCUUGCUGUCACUUAUAGAUGGAUCCGCGCUGCAUUAGCUAGUUGGUAAGGUAACGGCUUACCAAGGCAACGAUGCAUAGCCGACCUGAGAGGGUGACCGGCCACCCUGGAACUGAGACACGGUCCCGACUACUACGGGAGGCAGCCGUCGGGAAUCUUCCGCAAUGGGCGAAAGCCUGACGGAGCAACGCCGCGUGAGUGACGACGGUCUUCGGAUCGUAAAACUCUGUUAUUAGGGAAGAACAUAUGUGUAAGUAACUGUGCACAUCUUGACGGUACCUAAUCAGAAAGCCACGGCUAACUACGUG